rnacentral:rRNA from 1 species
CAGGUGGUCAGGUAGAGAAUACCAAGGCGCUUGAGAGAACUCGGGUGAAGGAACUAGGCAAAAUGGUGCCGUAACUUCGGGAGAAGGCACGCUGGUGUGUAGGUGAAGUCCCUGCGGAUGGAGCUGAGACCAGUCGAAGAUACCAGCUGGCUGCAACUGUUUAUUAAAAACACAGCACUGUGCAAACACGAAAGUGGACGUAUACGGUGUGACGCCUGCCCGGUGCCGGAAGGUUAAUUGAUGGGGUUAUCCGUAAGGAGAAGCUCUUGAU